UUGUUUAUUGUCCGAUUAGUUUCAAAAUCAUUUUUCAGGCUUUUUGAGAACAUUUAUGUUAUCCGUGCCACGUGCAUCGCCGGGUUACCCGCUAGAGUAUAUAUGAAGUUAAUAAAGAAAAAAAAAUUUUGGCUAUAUAUAAUAAUAUAUAUUAUAUACAAUUUGUUAAGUAGUUGUGUGCAAAAUGAAAAACUUCACACAUAUUCAUUUACAAACGUUUUUAUUCUUUUCAAACUUUUAUUAUAAGUAAAAAAACAGACAAAAUUAAAAUUCGCAAAUUUUCGCCGAAAUACAGCCGAAGCUAUCUAACGGUACUUCCAAUUCGAAGUAAAUUGCAACAAUUUUAAAACAGAUCAUCAAUAAACGCCAAAUGAGACUGAGGCAAUUGUCAUUGGACUUAAAAAUGAGUGCAAGAAGACAGUGAGGCAUGAGCCAUUCGUUAAAUUUUAAAAAUGCAUAGGUACCCCUCCCAACUACCCAGAAAUAAGCCUUUACUAUCUGUAGCAAAUAUUCAGAUACUGCUUCAUUAAUUCAUUUUUUUACUGCCAAUGUCAACAAACCCGUGUAGUACUAGAAUGACGUUAUAUGUUAUACCAUCAUUUGAGGACCAAGCAGAGAUUGGAGGAAGCCCAAUACAGUUUUGGAACAGAAAAAUAUAAUACCAACUAUAAAGUUUGGCGAGCUGAUGUGAUGACGAAAGAGAUUUUUUUGGACAUUCUAAAUGAAUUGUCAACGAGCGCAAUAAAGUUUGUUUUCGUAGACUCCCAAAACCCCAAUGAACAGAGGUACAAGCUUUAACAGGACAACGACCCCUAACACAAAUCAUCUCUGGACAGUCAUUGACACCCCUGCCCAGAGUCCCGACCAAGCUAUAAUAAAAACGCUCUCAUCAGGGCCAUUCAAGAAGAAUGGAUAAAAAUACUUGAAAUGUAUGGCCUUUAUAACCGUAUUCAGUCUAUGUCUCGUCGGGUGCAGUCUGUAAUGAAUGCUCAUGGCCAAUAUACCAAAUAUAUGUACUCAAAUAACUAAACAAGGUAAUAAUAAUCAUUAUAAUGGAACGUGGAAAGCACUGCACUGCAGAGAAUCGCGAUCUUAUCAAAAAAUUGAUAUUGGACGGAAAAACUUACAGAGAAGUUGGUCAAUUUGUAGGAUACUCCAAUAAAAUAAUUAAAAACGUCUUAAACUAUCAAAUAAAUAUUGAAACACGCGGACGAUAACGAUCUAUGACUCAUUUUCAUGUCAAAAGACUGAUUCGUCAGAACACGAAGGAUCCCUUCAUGCCUGCUACCGAAAUUAAAAAAAAAAGCUUAACAUAAAUGUGAAGGAACAUACAGUUCCCCAAUAUCUUAGGCAACCUAAAAAUACCGCAAACCAAGAAAGGUACCACUUAUAAACGCGACACCUAUUACUAAGCGUAUGAAGUUUGCCCAGGGAUCAUGCAAAUUUGACGGCCCAACAAUGGAGGAAUAUUCUAUGGUCAGAUGGGGCUAAGCUGGCUAUGAUUGGUGGAAAGAGAUCUCGACCAUACCUUAGAUGUCCAAGGAACACAAAAUACAAACCCCAGUACACAACAAAAUCCAUCGCAUGGACGGUGUAGUUUAAUGGUAUGGGCCUGCUUUUAUGGAGUAGGUCUAAUACAUUAAAGAAAACCAUCAUGGAUCAGCACGUGUAUGUGCAUAUCAUGGAGUCAGUUAUGCUUCCCUUUGUAGAAUACGAAAUGCCCCUCGUACUGGUCUUUCAACAGGACCCAAACACACCAGCAAGAAAGCAAAGGAAUGGUUUAGGGCAAACUCUGGGAACGUUUGGAGUGGCCUGCUGAGUCGCCUGACCUGAAUCCGAUCGAAAUUCUGUGGUCCGACGUCAAGAAGGCUGUUGCUGCUUCCAAAACAUCCACUAUCGGAAGAAAUUAAAGAGUCCUGGUCCAAAAUUCCCCUAACAUUAUGCCAGGACUCGGUUGAUUCCAUGCCCAGACGCUUUGCAGUUGUCAUUGCUAAUAAAGGACACUGUACUAUAUAUUAAAUGAUGAAUAUAGACUUAGAAUUAAUAGUUUAAAA